rnacentral:RNase_P_RNA from 3 species
UCAGCCGGCCGGGCGGCCGCUCCGUCGUCAGACGGGGAGGAAAGUCCGGGCUCCAUGGAGAGGCGGUGCCGGAUAACCUCCGGCGGGGGCGACCCCAGGGAAAGUGCCACAGAGAGCAGACCGCCUUACCGAGGCUUGUCCUCCGUAAGGUCAGGGUGAAAGGGUGCGGUAAGAGCGCACCGCGGACGCGGCAACGCGGACGGCACGGCAAACCCCACCGGGAGCAAAACCGAAUAGGGGCGACACGCCUUUCCCGCGAGGGGAGGGCAGGCCCGCUCUCCAGGCUCGUCGCCCGGGUUGGUUGCUCGAGGCGGCCGGCAACGGCCGUCCCAGAGGAAUGGCUGCCACGUCCGUGGGUUCAUCUCACGGGCCCUACAGAACCCGGCUUACAGGCCGGCUGAUCCA